UAUAUGUAGCUUGAAUGCAGU
rnacentral:piRNA from 1 species